UCUGCAGAGCGGUUGUUGUGGCAGUAUUGCCUGUUGAACCUCCUUCAAUCCCCCGUAUGGUCGGUCGAUGGCUCCGUCAUCCAGAGAUUGUAUUGAUUUCCUGAUUACUCUUCGAUCCUCAGUAGAGCGGAUUUUGUUGCAGAAUCUGCUGAUGUGAUCCGUCAGAUGUGUGUUCGCCCCGAGUAGAGUGGUUUGUUGCAGAAUCUACUUGUUUGGUGUUUU
rnacentral:lncRNA from 1 species